rnacentral:misc_RNA from 1 species
UUUCCCUAUUACCGCAAAAAAGACAAUCAGGAGCAAUAUAUGGCAACCUCUUAUUGUCUAAAUCACUAGAUGGUAACCUUCCUUUGAGUAGACUCGUAGGAAUAUAAAGAUUUUGCUUGGUAAAGGAAUCUUCCAAAUCUUUUUCCAUAUCAUCUCAUUCCAUGCUGAUUAAGGACCGACCCUGCUCUAAAACCAACAAUCGCAACAUGAUGAAUCAUUCUAGCAAUGAUCGAAUAGACCCCCAUGCAACUUGCAACUACUUUUAAGCCAUUACCAACGUAAGAGACAUUUAAAUGGGUUAGGUUGAAAGAAUUUUUGCUUCUUGAAGUUAGAACCCUUCUUCCUUUUGUCUUUUGCGGAUAGAACUUAUUUUUUAUAAGAGAAAUUGGCAAUGUGUGUGUAGCUUUUUUUUUUUUUGGUUAAAUUUCAAC